CGGAACGAGCGCGAGCGGCGGCGGUGAUGGCGGUGUCGAGUUCUCGUCGGGCACAACUGACUCCGGUGAUGAAGAAAGCGUCGGUGAUGAAGACAAACACAACGACGGUGGUUUCCGGCGAGGUUGUGAGAGUUUGGUUUCGUCGGGCACAACUGACUCAAUCAAUGAAUGUGAGAUCUGAAUGUGGGAGCUGAAGACCGUAGGAUUAUUACAAGUGUCUAAUCGAUCCGAUGGCUGUGAAGACCUUAUGCAUGGUGCAUAAGUUAUGGCUUAUGCACCAUAACUUUUGCCCGUUAGGGGCUUGAUGCCCUAGAUUGGUACCACAUGCAUAUAAGAGGUCUAAGUUGCAU
rnacentral:lncRNA from 1 species